rnacentral:lncRNA from 1 species
AAUUAACAUUUUCAAAACUUAUAAUCUUUUUAGAAAUACAAAAUAAUCCACCCACUAAAUAAACAAACUUUCCACUCCCUCUCUCAAAUGUUCUCCUCUCUCCCACAGAAGAAAACGUUCUCCUCUCUCAAAAAUUCAAAAUUGCUUUAAUCGGGAUAAUCAAUUUCUCCGGCAACUUUCAACUUUCGAUGGCCGUAUUUUGAACUUUCGAUUAGUCUAUUCUAACCAUCCAAGGGAACAACGAUUUAUAGGUAAAGCUUCAUUUUUUUUGAAAAAAAUUAAGGGGGAACAACGAUUUAUAGGUAAAGCUUCAUUUUUUUUGAAAAAAGUUAAGGAUUUUUAUUUUUUUUUUUUUUAAGAAAUACUGCAAAGAGACUAUUCUGAGGGAGGUUACAAUUUGCAUAUACUCUUCCCUCAAGCGCUGCCCAGGUUUUGUGCGAUUCCGGUUAAGACAAUGAAGUUUUUGCUUGUUUAGGUGAGAUGGGGAAGAAAAGGGGUUUCCCCAAUUGGGUUCCUAAUGGGUUGACAUGUUCUGCAGGUAUUUUUGAAAAGAGCUCCUGGGUUUAUAUUUAAUUUUGAAAAG